UACGUAGGGUGCGAGCGUUAAUCGGAAUUACUGGGCGUAAAGCGUGCGUAGGCGGUUCGCUGUGUCCGAUGUGAAAGCCCCGGGCUUAACCUGGGAAUGGCAUUGGAAACUGGCGGGCUUGAGUGCGGCAGAGGGGGGUGGAAUUCCGCGUGUAGCAGUGAAAUGCGUAGAGAUCCGGAAGAACACCGGUGGCGAAGGCGGCCUGCUGGGACAUGGCUGACGCUGAGGCGCGACAGCGUGGGGAGCAAACAGG
rnacentral:rRNA from 1 species